rnacentral:rRNA from 1 species
GAGUAACACGUGGAUGAUCUACCUUCUGGUGAGGAAUAACCCUGGGAAACCGGGGAUAAUACCGCAUAAGCUCGAGAGAGGAAAGCAGCAAUGCGCCGGAAGAGGAGUCCGCGGCCGAUUAGCUAGUUGGCAGGGUAAAAGCCUACCAAGGCGAAGAUCGGUAGCCGGCCUGAGAGGGCACACGGCCACACUGGCACUGAAACACGGGCCAGACUCCUACGGGGGGCAGCAGUGGGGAAUCUUGCACAAUGGGGGAAACCCUGAUGCAGCGACGCCGCGUGAGCGAUGAAGCCCUUCGGGGUGUAAAGCUCUUUCGGCAGGGAAGAUGAUGACGGUACCUGCAGAAGCAGCUGCGGCUAACUACGUGCCAGCAGCCGCGGUAAUACGUAGGCAGCAAGCGCUGUUCGGAGUUACUGGGCGUAAAGGGUGUGUAGGCGGUUGUUUAAGUUUGGUGUGAAAUCUCCCGGCUCAACUGGGAGGGUGCGCCGAAUACUGAAUGACUCGAGUGCGGGAGAGGAGAGUGGAAUUCCUGGUGUAGCGGUGAAAUGCGUAGAUAUCAGGAGGAACACCGGUGGUGUAGACGGCUCUCCGGACCGUAACUGACGCUGAGACACGAAAGCGUGGGUAGCAAACAGGAUUAGAUACCCUGGUAGUCCACGCCCUAAACGAUGCAUAUUUGGUGUGGGCCGUUCAGUCGGUCCGUGCCGGAGCUAACGCGUUAAAUAUGCCGCCUGGGGAGUACAGUCGCAAGGCUGAAACUCAAAGGAAUUGACGGGGGCCCGCACAAGCGGUGGAGCAUGUGGUUCAAUUC